GAGCCAAACCAUAUCAGGAUGUUUGGGUUGUUUCCACAUUUUAACUCUACGUGUAAUGCUGCACCCAAGAUAAUGCUUCCAUUCCAUGAAUGGGGGAUAUGCAUCAAAAGAGAACUUUAACAAAGAAAGUAAACUCAUUUUUGAAUUUUAAGAUCACUUUGGCAUUCUGUUUUGAGGUCUGCUAAACUUGCAAUGCUGGGUGAAAAUGACUUCAAAAUAAAACCAAUGUUGAAAGACACCAAGAGACUGUAACUACUUGAGAUUCCAUUUUUCCUUUAUAAUUUAUUUGCCACAAUGUUAAAUACUGUAGAUCAUACAGAAUCUGUUUUUUCUGCCCAAAAAUGGGGGUCUGUUAUCAACAGACUCAGCCCCAACCUCGUUCAGGACAAGCUUGUGUGGUUCAGAAGGUAGAUCACAGAGCAGGUUGUACCCAUGCCUUUGCCAGCAUAAUGAAGUUGACUCUUUUGGGGUGGGUGUCAAAGCUCCUCUCAUGUUCUGUUACAUUAAGGUAAAAACUGAGGGCCCAUAGCAAGGGCCCCUAUCUAGACAAAACCUAAUCAUCUUAUCUUGGACAAAUUUCUCUGUUCUUUCUAUAGCCUGUGGUAGACACAAUGUGCCCAUCAAAGAUGUCAACACCCAAAUGCCUGCAACCUUUGAAUAUAUUAUAUAGGAAAAGGGACUUUACAGCUAUAAUUAAAAUUAUAGAUUUUUAAAAUAGGAAGAUUACCCUGGAUAUCUGGAUAGGUCCAAUCUAACCACAUGAGAUCUUAAAAGCAGUGAACUCUUGCUAGGGCAAGAAAGAUAUGGCAGAAAGGGAAUUCAGAGAGAUUGAAAGCAUAAGAUUCAUCUACCAAUGCUGAAGAAGCCCACAAGGGAAUUCAGAGAGACUGAAAGCAUGAGAUUCAUCCACUAAUGCUGAAGAGGGCCACACAGAAAGUAUGAGAAGGAAUGUGGGCAAAUUCUAGAAACAAAGACUAGCCCACAGCUAACAGCUAGCAAGGAAAUGGGGAACUCAGUCCUACAACUGCAAGGAACUGAAAUCUACCUAAUGAGCCCAGCUCAGCUGACAAUCUGAUUACAGCCUUGUGAGGCUUUAAGCAGAGGACCCAGUUGAGCCAUAUUGUGCCUAGAUUUCUGUGCCAUGGAACUGUGAGAUAAUAAAUGGGUGUUGUUUUAAGCUACUAAGUUUGUAGUAAUUUGAUCUAGCAGCAAUAGAAAAUUAAUAAACUUUUUUUUAAAAAAAGCAGAAUUUGCAAGCAAAUGUGACUUUGAGCGUAAUUCUUCUUCACUGCAAAUAUGUGAUGUAGGAGUCUUUGAGUUAUUUGCUUGAGAAUAACAGUGAUAAACUAUACUCCUAUCUGUGCUCCUCAGUAUUUGGUUGCAUUCAUUGGAAGACUGAGGCUCUACUUAGGGGAUUUUUUCCUCCAAGUCCUUCUAGAAUACCCUGGAAUGGAGAAUGAAUUUUAGGAGAUCAGGACUGCAGCAUGAAGAUGAAUUAUCAAGCUACUGUACUAAUCCAGCUGAGGGAUGAUAGGACAGGGUUAGCUGGUAUGGAAGAGUCAGACUGGAGAAGGGGACAUUGAUGUUGAUUCCUAAUAGUUCUAGAAUGGCUUACUAGGUGGAUGGUGGGGUGGUAUGCAGGAAGUAAAUGGAUAUUGAAAACUGAAGCUCAGCUGAUUCUCAAAUUAGUCACUCCCAUUUGGGAAUUAACAUGUAAGUUGAUAAAAUCAUGUCAGUGGAGAUUACCCAGGAGACACUUAUGGAUUUGUUUUAAAAUAUAAACAAAAUAUAAAUAUAACAAAAUAUAAUAAAAUAUAACAAAAUAUAAACAAAAUAUAAAUAAAAUAUAAACAAAAAUAUAAAACAUAAAAGGAGGAAUGAGGAAGCAUUACAUAUAGCGACUAAUAGGAGAUUCUGUUGCUUGGGAAAGGAGAGAGAAAAAAGAAGAGGCUUAGAAAAGAUGAGAAAGAUGUUGGCUAAGUUAGAUUUGAUACAUCGCAAAUGAACUAAAAAAAAAAAAGAGGUUUAAUUGACUCACAGUUCUGCAUGGCUGGGGAGGCCUCAGGAAAUGUACAAUUAUGGUAGAAAGCAAAGAAGAAGCAAGGACCUUCUUCAUAAUACAGCAGGAGGUGGGGAGGAAGUGCCACACUUUUAAACCAUCAGAUCUCAUGAGAACUCACUUACCAUCAUGAGAACAGCAUGGGGGCAAUCACUCCCAUGAUCCAAUCACCUCCCACCAAGACCCUCCCUCGACAUGUGGGAAUUACAAUUUGAGAGGAGAUUUGGGUGAGGACACAGAGCCAAAUCACCUCACCCUUAGAUGGAAAAAAAUAAGUAGGGGGAAGGCAUGAAGCUAGAAAAAGUUCUUGUUACCUACCAGGGAACAGUACCAGUCCAGGACAGCUAGAUUCCUGUCUUUGUGAAUAAUGAUGAUGGUGGAAUUGGCUACAGAAGACAGAGGCACAGGAAAAAGUGAUAGUGUUCAACCAGCCAUUUGCACAUAGGAAGCUUCACAAGCUGGGCGUCUGUAAUUUGGGGAAUAUUAAUAUUGUGUUCCUCUUGAGUAUAUUAUUCAUUCAGCAAAGAUUUAGCUGUUUACAAAAUCAUUUACAGAGAAAUUGGAGACUCUUUCAAUCCCCUAUUUCUGUGAAAACAUUGCAGCUGUACUAAGACUGAAAAAUCCUAGUUAGCUUAUACAGUAGCUACCUAUGCAUUCAACAGUUUCCUCACGAAAAGCUCACAAUGACUAUCCUUGAUACCCUUUGCUGAUCUGAAUCUGUGAAAGUAUUUGACAGUUGCACAAAGCAGCAGGAAGAGAAAAUAAGUUGCCCACAUGCAAGAACCUAAGAGGGCUUCCUGCUGAACCACCAGUUGUGGAGAAAGCAGCCAACCAGGGGAAGAACCAUUCAAGGCAGAAUGUUCCUCAUUUUUCCAGCUGAUUUAGAUGGACUAAAGAAUUAAAAUUCAACCCAUUCCAAAGCACCAAAUAAUAACUUUAUGCUGUGGAACUAGACACUAUACUUUCACUCUCUUUCCUAAUGUCUUUGUUUUUGGCUAAGAGUAAAAAUAGCUGUCAAGGUUCCCUCUCUCAAGCUCUGUUAACACACCUAGUCCAAAGGCGCAUGUGUGUCAUGUCUCUAAUAUAUUUUAUUGCUGCCUUUUAAAAUUCCCCUUGAGACGCUGGCCCAAUAUUGUUGCAUUCAACCACAUUUCUACCACAAGGAUUAAAAAGAACUUAAGUAUAAUUUUAUUCUAUUCUGCAUCAAUGCCAUACACACACAAAAAAAUGUUUG
rnacentral:lncRNA from 10 species